rnacentral:rRNA from 1 species
GAUGAACGCUAGCGGCAGGCCUAAUACAUGCAAGACUAGGGGGCAGCAAAUGUCACCGUCGCACGGGUGCGUAACGCGUAUGCAACCUACCUAUCACAGGGGGGAUAGCCCUUUGGAAAACAGGGGAUUAAAUACCCGCAUAAAGCAGGGGCUCCGCAUGGGAGAUAUUGCUAAAGAUUUAUCGGGUGAUAGAUGGGCAUGCGUCUGAUUAGUUAGAUGGUGGGGUAACGGCCUACCAUGGCGAUGAUCAGUAGGGGGCGUCAGAGCGUGGUCCCCCCACACUGGCACUGAGAUACGGGCCAGACUCCUACGGGAGCAGCAGUAGGGAAUAUUGGGCAAUGGAU